AUGGACAGAUGUUGGGGCGGAACUUGGACAUAUUUCCACAUUAUUAGCCACUACCGACAGGCGAACAGCAUAUAUGAUCAGUUAGAUUGCAACUGGCAAUACCUCAAGGAUGCACAACACCGCCAAAGGCUUUUCACCGAACGAGAGGACGGAAAUACAGUUGGACGGGCUCUCCAUAACUGGAAGUUUCUUCCGUUUUGCUACAAACUAUUGCCAUAAUCUAAGGAGAACCUAAGGAAGCUUUUUUUUCCCCCCUGUGUGUUUCUGCACCGUUAGACAUGGACGGGAGAUAUAUCUGAGCUCUUGGCAAUCAUGCUAUGACUUAUAAUUAAUUAACGUGUUGGCCAGAUACACUUACUUUUUUAUUUACAGACGUUUUUAGUCUGUAAAAACAUCUACAACCUCUCAAGACCUAUUGACCCCUCUUAGACUUUGCAUCGGCUCAAAGUGACUUUCAAGAGGUGGAAUAAAAAACAGACUCUGAAGAGAAGAGGAGCGCGUUAAUACAUGCUUUAUUACAUUUUUUAAAUAAAUAAUUCUUUUCGCUCGUCACUGGCAUUUUGAUUCUGUAUGAGAAGCCAAGUGGAGGGGACGACGACAGCAUGCCGCGGAGAAAGCAGCAAGCGCCGAGGCGGUCUUCAGGUAAGCGGUGCAUGCAUGGUUUGUUUACUAAUAAGAGUGCAUAGGGAGGAAAAACAAAAUACAUAAAAGUACUUACACUUCAUUAUUGUGUUGUUUGAAAUGCUUAAUCUAAACAUUACAUCCAGUUUUGGGACUUUUAUUAUUUUUUCAUUUAUUUUUUUUACUUACAAAGAAUGCCAAAACAAAGGUACUUUCCCCUUCAGAAUGUAUUCGAUGUGCUUGUAAAAAACAAAACAAAAAAACCUGAGUAGAACGCGUGAGUAACUUUUUUGAAGUUGUGCCAAAUUAAAACUACUCAGUCCACCGUGGGCUAUAUAGUCGAGUGAAAAUGUAGUUUCAGAGUGCUCCAGUUUGUCUAUUUAGAUGCGGAUUGCCAUCCUUGAUUUGAUGCUUGAUUGAUCGCCUGUCAUGGGGCUGCCUUUGAUCUAUUCAUUCCUGAUAAACAUCAGUAAAUCAUUCACCAUGGAAACACGCAUGCGCCGUGGGGCCGCAGCCACUCAAAGGACAACUUUUGCCCCCGUCGUGCGGGAAAAUAGAGAAAGGAAAG
rnacentral:lncRNA from 1 species